UCCUGUAAUACAUCUUUUUGUUCAGUGCCAUCCUCUACCUUUUCAGCGGGAAUUAGUCUAUCGCACGGGAAACACCAUCGCAAUUGAGGAUUUUCAAAUUGUACAGCCAAGUGGUGGUGGUACUGUCUUGCAUGCCGAACUGCAUGGCUCUGAGGAGUAGUAGGAAAUCCAGCACCUCCGCACGAAAAAUGACCACAUUCUAAACAGACCCAAAUGGCUUUAGACGCCGACUUUGAUUCUCCACCUCCCUUCUUUUUUCCAUGUUUACCUUUUCCUUUAGCAGCCCGUCGAUUAGCUG
rnacentral:misc_RNA from 1 species